GCGGUGGGCUACUGGUACUCCGAGUCACUGCUGCGUGUUGACGGGCUAUCGCUGUUCCAACAGACGGUCCAGCCCCUGGCGUCCGAAUUCAACUGCUGGCCUUAUACUCAGGGCCUGAUGCUAAUAGGACCCGCAGAGCGGGACGUGGCCCGCGCUCUGGAUGCCCCAGUGAGGCGCGCGAUCACCAGCCCUUGGGAAAGAAGCCCUGUGAGUGAUUCGGCGCCUGCCGCGUGGGUGGAGUUUUUAUUGGUGCUGUGCCCCGGCGUUCCAAAGCACCCCCUUCAAGAUAAAGGACAGGUAAUCGCACCUUGCACCCCACCGCUGAGAAAGGGGCUCAGGGCCUAAGGAACAUCUUUGGGUUUUGGAGGCAGCAUAUACGCCUCACUUAGGAAUACUGCUUGUGGGAUGGCUGGGCGGCUCAAAGGGUCAAGUGUCUGCC